AACGUAUCUGCACAUUCGAUGCUUUAUCCUAGCUCUUAAAACAAAGCCAUAAAUAUCAAAAUGGAAUACGACCUCUUUGACAAUAUGUGAAUUUUGCAUGUCAACUGUCAUCAAUUCAUUCAGUUAUUGCCUGUAUCGCGAGGGACCGUCGCCCAAUGAAUAGUCCCACCCAUAGUUAGCUCUUCCCGCUCAUUUUGACAAGGUCAGGGCCGAGGAAGACCUUCCAAACCUUCUGCAACUGGUUGUUCCAGAAAACAUCAAUGCAUUCAGUAGAGAAAUAAUUAACUGUUCAGCUACAUCCAAAGUUUUACCAUCAGUUUUACGUACGCCAUAUUCCUACGACUGGUUUGAUGAAGUACUUCACAAUUUUCGAUCAAUCAACACGGCGUGCGACUAUUGUAUUUUUGAAUAUGUAUACAGCUUAAUGUAGUUAUUAUUAUGUUUGUCUAACUCUAAGUAAAACCUUUAUUAUGUACAUAAUAUCAUAUAUCAAUGUUAACAGACAAGUCUCUAAUGUCAGUGAAAUAAAUGUUGUGGUUCAGUGCUGCAAAAAUAACAACUUCUCAAAUUCUAUGA